GGAGAUUGCAAGGAAGUUUUGGUUGGUCUAAAAGGCAGCAUCUCUGUACUUUUAUCUCUAGCUGCAAUCUGUCGACCUCCAUUACUGUCAAUGAAAUCAUUUCCUCAAGUUGAUCAAUUCAUACGAAUUCAAAUUUCUUUUCACCUCCUGUGCGUUUCCUAUUGGUCAAUCGGUUCUGAAACAAAAUCUAAUUGGCUCAUCGAAAAGUAACAGGAAGUUGAUCAAUUUUCUAUCAAAUGAAUUGAUCAACUUGAGGAAAGGAAUUGGUGCAAUAUUUUAUCAGCACUUCCAUUGCAUCGACAGUAA
rnacentral:lncRNA from 1 species